rnacentral:rRNA from 1 species
AGCUCCAAUAGCGUAUAUUAAAGUUGUUGCAGUUAAAAAGCUCGUAGUUGGAUUUGUGGUGUGUCUUGCCGGCCUUGGCUCUUUGAGUUUUUGCGCUGUGCGAGUCUGCCAUGUUUGGGUGGAAUCUGUGUGGCAUUAAGUUGUCGUGCAGGGGAUGCCCAUCGUUUACUGUGAAAAAAUUGAGUGUUCAAAGCAGGCUUAUGCCGUUGAAUAUGUUAGCAUGGAAUAAUGAUAUAGGACCUUGGUACUAUUUUGUUGGUUUGCGCACUGAGGUAAUGAUUAAGAGGGACAGUUGGGGGGUAUUUGUAUUC